rnacentral:lncRNA from 1 species
UUUAUGCUUCAAUGUUUGGUAGAGUUAUCUAUUCAAAAAUUACCCUGGUCCUUUUUUCCUGCACAGUCUAUACCAACCAUAGAGAGAGUACCUCCCAAAAUCCCCUUCUUGUCUCCCUCACAAAACCCCAUGUUGUCCUCUAAAAAGUUCUAUUACAUUCUUGACACCAUUCUAAGCUAUGUUACAUCCAUAUGGGUGGGGGUGUCAGGUGAGGGUAUGGGUGUGGGUGUGUAUAAUCAAUUAGAAGUUGAUUAGAAGCAAAAAAAUUAACAUAUCUUUUAUUAAAAAAAACCUUUUUCUUUUCUCUUUUAUUCCAAAUUUUGAUAACUCCCACAACCAUAAAAAGGAUGGAGCACCACUACAGUGAUAUACCAUCUCCUCUCCAUGUUUACAAAUAGCACCAGUUAGCAAGUAUUCGCCCUCUAUAUGCUCGACAAUCAUUGAAAUAAAUAAAAGGCCUCUCUCAAAGCUGCAGUCCAUGAAAGGGAAGACACAUUGCAAGAAACACUGCAUCAGAUCUUGUUCCAUGGAAAAACAUACCUAACAACACCCAAACCCCCUCCUCCCCUCUCCCCUUUCAAAGUCCUGAUAAAAGACCUAAACAAGAAACUCCCAUCUAUCGCCGGCUGCCAAAAACAACAGUGGAGCCCAACCACCCUAACCUCACUGGAAAAGAAAAUGAAUAGUCGGGAUCCUCUGGGGUAUCAAUCUCCACUGGAAUUGGGUACUCUCUCUCUCUCUCUCUCUCUCUCUCUCUAUAUAUAUAUAUAUAUAUUCUUCUUUUUUUAGCAUUUUUGUGAUAGGGUUCAAUCCUUGGCUAAUAAAC